UUCAUCGGGUUGGGUUGGGUUGGGUUGGGUUUCGGGUUAUGAUUCAUAACCCGAAACCCAACCCAACCCAACCUC
rnacentral:miRNA from 1 species